rnacentral:rRNA from 1 species
GACGAACGCUGGCGGCGUGCUUAACACAUGCAAGUCGAGCGGUAAGGCCCUUUCGGGGGUACACGAGCGGCGAACGGGUGAGUAACACGUGGGUGACCUGCCCUCAGCUCUGGGAUAAGCCUGGGAAACCGGGUCUAAUACUGGAUAUGACUCCAUGACGCAUGUUGUGGGGUGGAAAGCCUUGUGCGGCUGAGGAUGGGCCCGCGGCCUAUCAGCUUGUUGGUGGGGUGAGGCCUACCAAGGCGACGACGGGUAGCCGGCCUGAGAGGGCGACCGGCCACACUGGGACUGAGACACGGCCCAGACUCCUACGGGAGGCAGCAGGUGGGGAAUCUUGCGCAAUGGGCGAAAGCCUGACGCAGCGACGCCGCGUGAGGGAUGACGGCCUGGUGUAA